GCCGGUUUUAUGUUUUGGGAACCAUUUAGAUUGGAUAAACGAGCAUUUGUCUCCACCUACGGGCCUAUACCUGUUUGAGAGGAACCGUAGCAUUUCUACUGGAAGUUAAGGUUUUGUGCCUUGAGUUUCUUGGCGACAGGCUCUUACCAGUGGAUCGUGUGUGUCUCGCAACAUUUGCUGCAGCGAACAACUAGUCGUUGCAUUAGGCAAGUUGUGGAAGCCCUCAAUCAUCCGAAUGUAAUAAGUAAAUGGGUGUUCCCACAAACGCAACAAGUUAAGCCCAGAGGUUCCAAAUAAGAUUUCAUUUAUCUGUAGUAAUAGGGUGCAUUGACUGCACCCACGUAACCAUUGUGAAGUCCAUGGUAGAUGAGCAUCUUUUUUAUAAAAGUAUACCACUCAUUAAA